rnacentral:rRNA from 1 species
AAAAUUUAAAAUUAAAAUACUAAAAUAGUAAAUAUAAUUUUGUUGAAAUUUAAAUAAUUUGGCGGUAUUUUAGUUCAUUUAGAGGAAUCUGUUUAAUAAUUGAUAUUCCACGAAUAAAUUUACUUAGUUUAUAAUUUUGUAUAUCGUUGUUGUAAAAAUAUUUUUUAAUGAAAUUAAUAUUUAAAAAUUAAAAUAUAAAUUUAAAUCAGAUCAAGAUGCAGUUUAUAAUUAAGAAUAUAAUGGAUUACAAUAAAUUUAUUUAAAUGGAUUUUAAUUUUUAAUAAUUAAUUGAAGGUGGAUUUAAAUGUAAUUUUAUUUAAUUUAAUAAAAUGAUUAAAAAUUAAAAUAUGU